rnacentral:antisense_RNA from 1 species
CAGAUUCAGAGCCCCAGCCUGUUCAUAAAAAAAAUCAGAUGAAUUUUGUCUGCGGAACAUUCUGCAAAAAUAUCUGACCAGGAAAGAUAAAUAUGCAAAAAGUCACACACACAGGAAAUGAUUAAUACAAUUUUAUGGCAUCAAAAGAUACCAUUGAUAAAGUAAAACACAAGUCACGAACUAGGGGAAAGAAGAUGAGGUAGCAUCCAAAAUACAUGAAGAAAUCUUGUAAGUCUAUUAAAAGACUAUACGACCUAACAGAAAGAAGCAGCAAAAGCCAUGAAAAGGAAAAGAAGGAUAAAACUAUCUGAAGCCCUGUUAAAAGUCUGAGUCAUUUCUGCUCUAUUUCUUUCCCUACGAAUGGUAAGAGCUGGGGAUUGUGGUAUGUGCCUUUAGUCCUAGCUACUCCGGAGGCUGAGGCAGGAGGAUCACUUGAGCCCAGGACUUUGAGGCCGCUGUAAGCUAUGAUCAUGCCACUGCACUCCAGCUCAGGCAACAGUGAGACCCGGUCUCAACAAACAAAAGAAAAUAAAAGAAUGGUAGACAAGGAAAGCAGUUGAACAGCUAUGUGAGAAGCCUACUUUCUCUUCAUGUAACACGUUGGCCUAAGAGAUCUAUAGAGCUUUUUAAAAACAAAGAAGGCAGCAAGAUUUAAAAUAAUAAAACCAGCAAUAGGUAUUUUUAAAAGUGAGAGAAACUAUCAGAGAGCUGUAGCAGAAAAGCAAGUUAAAAAUAAAGGAAACAGAAAAGGAACUGAUACAGCUGAUUUGAUACUAGAAAAAUCACCCAGGAGGCGGCGUGGAGAAUGGAUUGGAGAAG